GACGAACGCUGGCGGCGUGCUUAACACAUGCAAGUCGAACGGAAAGGCCUGCUUUCCCUUGUGGAUUGCGGGUACUCGAGUGGCGAACGGGUGAGUAACACGUGAGUGAUCUGCCCCCAACUUGGGUAUAAGCCUGGGAAACUGGGUCUAAUUCCCGAUAGGACUGCAGGGUGGUGCCUGUGGUGGAAAACGAUUUUCUGGUGGUUGGGGAUGAGCUCGCGGCCUAUCAGCUUGUUGGUGGGGUAAUGGCCUACCAAGGCGGCGACGGGUAGCCGGCCUGGGAGGGUGGACGGCCACAUUGGGACUGAGAUACGGCCCAGACUCCUACGGGAGGCAGCAGUGGGGAAUAUUGCACAAUGGGCGGAAGCCUGAUGCAGCGACGCCGCGUGGGGGAUGACGGCCUUCGGGUUGUAAACUCCUUUCGACCGCGAGGAAGCCACCUGGUUGGAAGGGUGGUGACGGUAGUGGUAGAAGAAGCACCGGCUAACUACGUG
rnacentral:rRNA from 1 species